UGUUUCGUUUUAAUAUAAGAGAGGAAAGAGAGAGUUUACAAACUCUCUCAACUCCUCUAUCAGGCAAGAGAAGAACGCCGCUCACCGGCGACAAAGAAUAACCACCCACUGCAGAUAGAGGGAGUAAAAAGCUCCCGAAACACUCCCUAAGUCUCCCUUAGUUCGAAUCUUAAACCCUCCUAACCUAAAAUAUAGCACAGACCCUUAGAUCUGAUGAUUUAUCUUUCGAAAAAAAUGAACAUCGACGACUCUUGGGCUCCCCCAACUUCUAACCGAGUGUUUGACAAAAUUGCUUAUGAAAACGGCGGUGAUAUAGAUCAAUGGCAACGCGCGAGCUGGAGGAGCGGUGAGGUCCACGCGCUGAUAUGGUAGUUAAAGAGUUGCGAUAGUUGCUUGAUUAGGGUUUAAAAACCCUAAUUUGUUUCGGGUCAAAUCAUACUGCAGUAGGGUCGGACCUUGGUUAUAACUAGGUCUGGGUUUGUCUGUUGGGCUUCGGGUUAGAUCCUGGGUUUACUGCAGUAGGUCUCCUGUUGGGUCACUUGUAAUUGGGUCUGGAACUUGUGUUUGGGCUUCAAGUGGCCUACAAAAAAAUGUAAAUAUGUAAAUAAUAAUAAUAUAUUUUAUUAGGAA